GCGAGGGACAGCAAGCCGGGUCGGCCAAGAGGAGACUGCAUGUCAGAGGUCCCAGCAGGAGUUUCUUCAGCCCAGCCGUCCUGCUGGAGAAGCUCGUUCGCAGAUGUUGUUUCUAAGGGCUGGAGUGCAAUGGCGCGAUCUUGGCUCUCCACAACCUCCACCUCCCGGGUUCAAGCGAUUCUCCUGCCUCAGCCUCCCAAGUAGCAUGUGCCACCACGCCCAGCUAAUUUUCUGUUUUCAGUGGAGACAAGAUUUCUCCAUAUUGGUCAGGCUGGUCUCGAACUCCCGACCUCAGGUGAUCCGCCCACCUCAGCCUCCCAAAGUGCUGGGAUUACAGGCGUGAGCCACCGUGCCCGGCCUAAGCCAGCCAUCUUCUUGGCUGCAGUGGCUGGUAUUUCAUCACCACAGGACUGCGUCACGGACACCUCAGCUGAGGCACCACCCUCAGUGGGAGGACAGGGCAGGAUCCAGGCGGGACGCAGGGGAUCUUCCAACUCCUCCCCCUGCUCUCCCUCCAGCUGUGCUGACUCCUUAGUUGCUGAGAUGAGCUUGUAAAAAGCAG
rnacentral:lncRNA from 1 species